rnacentral:rRNA from 1 species
GGAAACCCUGACGCAGCAACGCCGCGUGGGUGAAGAAGGCCUUCGGGUCGUAAAGCCCUUUCGGACGGGACGAAUGCUCCGCGGUGACAACCCGCGGAGCCUGACGGUACCGUAAGAAGAAGCACCGGCUAACUCCGUGCCAGCAGCCGCGGUAAUACGGAGGGUGCAAGCGUUGUUCGGAAUUACUGGGCGUAAAGCGCGUGUAGGCGGCCUUGCAAGCCAGACGUGAAAGCCCCCGGCUUAACCGGGGAAGUGCGUCUGGAACUGCUCGGCUCGAGUACGGGAGAGGGAGGCGGAAUUCCCAGUGUAGAGGUGAAAUUCGUAGAUAUUGGGAGGAACACCGGUGGCGAAAGCGGCCUCCUGGACCGAUACUGACGCUGAGACGCGAAAGCGUGGGGAGCAAACAGGAUUAGAUACCCUGGUAGUCCACGCUGUAAACGAUGGGCACUAGGUGUGGGGGGUAUCCACUCCUCCCGUGCCGCAGCUAACGCAUUAAGUGCCCCGCCUGGGGAGUACGG